GAAAUGCCCCAACAUUGCCCAUGUCAAAGAGAAGAAAUAAGAAGACUGACAAAGAAAAGCAGCAUAAAGACAAAGAACUGGACUGAGCCAGAGAGAAAACAGAGGUGGAGGGAGCUGCUGGAUUUGUAAGGCCACAAGAGCGACACAGAGUUAGCGGCUUUUCUGCUGGACAAGUCUACUGGGGAUGCAGCAGCAGCGGCAUUUAGAGGGGCAGACAGAACAUCAGCAAGGUGUUCUCCCUCCUGAACAGGUAACUCACAUUCAUUCAUCAGGAGCGACAGACACUUCAACAUGGGGGAGCCAGGGGUCCAAACCAAGUGACCUUCCGAUUACCGGACGUCCUGCUCUACCUCCUUGAGCUGCAGCUGCACAGUGAAAAAGGAAUGGAGCUUUACUUUCCUGUCUGACUCACAGCAGCGCCGCUGCGUAGCCGAGGGAGAGGAAGGAGGAGAAGAAAAAAGAAAAAGGGGGGGGGCUCGUCUCAUCGGAGCUUGACAUGAACUGCCCUCCUGGAAAAAGGCUCUGAUGUGACUGACACCUCUCUCCUCUUUGUCUUCGCCACUCCAAUUAGCUCAGUGACAGGUGCAUGUGGAGAGACGAGACAAUCAAUUACCGUCCCCUCUCUUCAUCCUUCUCUCCCUGUGUCUUUAUCACACUCCAUCCCUUCGCUUGCUUUCUUUCUGCUCACUCUUAAUUCAUUCUUUUUUUAACCACUCUCUCCAACCCCCCCCCCCACCCACCAUUCAUUCAUACCUUGUCUGGCUUGUCAUUGUCUCCUCAUACAGUCUCCUCUCCUCUCCUCUCCCUCCUUAUCCCUCUCCUCUCUCUGUUUCACUGCAGCAUGCCAGGGUGACGGAGGGAGAGGAAAGAGGGAACAUGUCAUUCAAGACUGUGAGGCAUCCUCCCGCUUUAAUCUCAGACACACCACGCAAAAACUGCUCUGGGGCAUAACCACUACUGACAGACAAAGUCUCAGCUAAAAGGCUUCGCAGUCCUCUGUUAGGUCCUUCUGACCACAGCUUUGUCUCAUUUAAGAGGUGAAUCAGAUGUUAUUCUUCAUCAUCGCAAGUCUUAGUCAUUUAUUUGUCAGAGGCUAGAGUCAAAUGUAUCUGGAAAAAAAUCAAUAUGCACCCUGGGUUAUUUAAAACUCUGAUGUCACUGCAGGUUUCAGGGUGGGUCUUCUCCACUUGAUUGCUUUAAUGGUGAAAGUUUGCCACCUGCUGGUAAUCACCGUCAUGUCCUCCGGUGCCCCUUGGAUCAAAACCUCUCCCAUGGCUCCUUUAAAACAAAAAAAAAAAAAAACACACUCGCCCUCCUGACAUUUAGUGCUGCCAGAUGUCCACAUGAAGUGUUUCAUUCUGUUAAGGUCAAAAGGAAGUUUCUUGACGUCGGGCUAAAGGGGAUCAAAUUAAAAGGCUCCAAAAUGUC